CGUCAGCUCGUGUCGUGAGAGUGUUCGGGUUAAGUCCCGUAACGAGCGCAACCCUUGUCCUUAGUUACCAGCACGUUAUGGUGGGCACUCUAAGGAGACUGCCGGUGACAAACCGGAGGAAGGUGGGGAUGACGUCAAGUCAUCAUGGCCCUUACGGCCUGGGCUACACACGUGCUACAAUGGUCGGUACAAAGGGUUGCCAAGCCGCGAGGUGGAGCUAAUCCCAUAAAACCGAUCGUAGUCCGGAUCGCAGUCUGCAACUCGACUGCGUGAAGUCGGAAUCGCUAGUAAUCGUGAAUCAGAAUGUCACGGUGAAUACGUUCCCGGGCCUU
rnacentral:rRNA from 1 species